rnacentral:rRNA from 1 species
UACGAAGGGGACUAGCGUUGUUCGGAAUUACUGGGCGUAAAGCGCACGUAGGCGGAUCGUUAAGUCAGGGGUGAAAUCCUGGGGCUCAACCCCAGAACUGCCUUUGAUACUGGCGAUCUCGAGUCCGGAAGAGGUGAGUGGAACUCCUAGUGUAGAGGUGGAAUUCGUAGAUAUUAGGAAGAACACCAGUGGCGAAGGCGGCUCACUGGUCCGGUACUGACGCUGAGGUGCGAAAGCGUGGGGAGCAAACAGG